rnacentral:rRNA from 1 species
UAUCCGGAAUUAUUGGGCGUAAAGGGCUCGUAGGCGGUUCGUCGCGUCCGGUGUGAAAGUCCAUCGCUUAACGGUGGAUCCGCGCCGGGUACGGGCGGGCUUGAGUGCGGUAGGGGAGACUGGAAUUCCCGGUGUAACGGUGGAAUGUGUAGAUAUCGGGAAGAACACCAAUGGCGAAGGCAGGUCUCUGGGCCGUCACUGACGCUGAGGAGCGAAAGCGUGGGGAGCGAACAGGAUUAGAUACCCUGGUAGUCCACGCCGUAAACGGUGGAUGCUGGAUGUGGGGACCAUUCCACGGUCUCCGUGUCGGAGCCAACGCGUUAAGCAUCCCGCCUGGGGAGUACGGCCGCAAGGCUAAAACUCAAAGAAAUUGACGGG